AUUGAACGCUGGCGGCAUGCUUUACACAUGCGAGUCGAACGGCAGCGCGGGCUUUGGCCUGGCGGCGAGUGGCGAACGGGUGAGUAAUACAUCGGAACGUGCCCAGUAGUGGGGGAUAGCUCGGCGAAAGCCGGAUUAAUACCGCAUACGACCUGAGGGUGAAAGCGGGGGAUCUUCGGACCUCGCGCUAUUGGAGCGGCCGAUGGCAGAUUAGCUAGUUGGUGGGGUAAAGACCUACCAAGGCGACGAUCUGUAGCUGGUCUGAGAGGACGACCAGCCACACUGGGACUGAGACACGGCCCAGACUCCUACGGGAGGCAGCAGUGGGGAAUUUUGGACAAUGGGCGAAAGCCUGAUCCAGCAAUGCCGCGUGUGUGAUGAAGGCCUUCGGGUUGUAAAGCACUUUUGGCGGGAACGAAAAGGACUGUGCCAAUACCACGGUUCGAUGACGGUACCCGCAGAAUAAGCACCGGCUAACUACGUG
rnacentral:rRNA from 1 species